GAACGCACCUUGCGCUCCUUGGUAUUCCGAGGAGCAUGCCUGUUUGAGUGUCAUUUAAUUCUCAACCUUAUUAGCUUUUGCCGAUAAUGGCUUGGAUGUGGGGGAUUAUUUUUUUGCUGGCUUCUUUCAGAGGUCAGCUCCCCUGAAAUGCAUUAGCUGGUUGCCCCGCGUGGACCGUCUAUUUGGUGUGAUAAUUAUCUACGCCGUGGAUGUCUGCAAUUGGUUUUGGCACUGCUUCUAACCGUCUAUUCAUUUGGACAAUACAUGACAAUUUGACCUCAAAUCAGGUAGGACUACCCGCUGAACUUAAG
rnacentral:misc_RNA from 1 species